rnacentral:rRNA from 1 species
UACGAAGGGGGCUAUCGUUGUUCGGAAUUACUGGGCGUAAAGCGCACGUAGGCGGAUUAGUAAGUCAAGGGUGAAAUCCCGGGGCUCAACCUCGGAACUGCCUUUGAUACUGCUGAUCUCGAGUCCGGAAGAGGUGAGUGGAAUUCCUAGUGUAGAGGUGAAAUUCGUAGAUAUUAGGAAGAACACCAGUGGCGAAGGCGGCUCACUGGUCCGGUACUGACGCUGAGGUGCGAAAGCGUGGGGAGAAAACAGG